UACGUAGGUGACAAGCGUUGUCCGGAUUUACUGGGCGUAAAGGGCGCGUAGGCGGCCCGGUAAGUCAAAGGUGAAAUCCCUCGGCUCAACUGAGGAACUGCCUUUGAAACUGUCGGGCUUGAGGCCGGGAGGGGGUAGCGGAAUUCCCAGUGUAGCGGUGAAAUGCGUAGAUAUUGGGAGGAACACCGGUGGCGAAGGCGGCUACCUGGACCGGUUCUGACGCUGAUGCGCGAAAGCGUGGGUAGCAAACAGG
rnacentral:rRNA from 1 species